UCUCUCUCUCUAUCUAUCUUAUGUCAA
rnacentral:sRNA from 1 species